rnacentral:rRNA from 1 species
GAUGAACGCUGGCGGCGUGCUUAACACAUGCAAGUCGAACGAUGAAGCCCAGCUUGCUGGGUGGAUUAGUGGCGAACGGGUGAGUAACACGUGAGUAACCUGCCCUUAACUCUGGGAUAAGCCUGGGAAACUGGGUCUAAUACCGGAUAGGAGCGUCCACCGCAUGGUGGGUGUUUGAGAGCUUUAUCGGUUUUGGAUGGACUCGCGGCCUAUCAGCUUGUUGGUGAGGGAAUGGCUCACCAAGGGGACGACGGGUAGCCGGCCUGAGAGGGUGACCGGCCACAAUGGGACUGAGAGACGGACCAGACGCCAACGGGAGGCAGCAGUGGGGAAUAUUGUACAAUGGGCGAAAGCCUGAUGCAGCGACGCCGCGUGAGGGAUGACGGCCUUCGGGGUGUAAAGCUCUUUCAGUAGGGAAGAAGCGAAAGUGACGGUACCUGCAGAAGAAGCACCGGCUAACUACGUG